UACGUAGGGGGCAAGCGUUGUCCGGAAUCAUUGGGCGUAAAGAGCGUGUAGGCGGCCAGAUAAGUCCGCUGUGAAAACUCGAGGCUCAACCUCGAGACGCCGAUGGAAACCGUCUGGCUAGAGUCCGGAAGAGGAGAGUGGAAUUCCUGGUGUAGCGGUGAAAUGCGCAGAUAUCAGGAAGAACACCCGUGGCUAAGGCGGCUCUCUAGUACGGUACUGACGCUGAGACGCGAAAGCGUGGGGAGCGAACAGG
rnacentral:rRNA from 1 species